rnacentral:rRNA from 1 species
GAUCUCAACUCACACGUGACCCCCCCGUGUUUUUAAGCAUAUUAAUAAGCGGGAGAAAAAAAACUAACCGGG